GAAUAAUGGUGUGUGUGUGUGUGCGUGCGCGUGCUUGGUGAGAUGACUGUCUGGUGCAGAGGCUACUGUCUGUAGGGGGUCUGUUCCUCUUCACUGGGCACAGAGAUACAAUGUAAACAACUACACCGAUCAGCCAAUCAGACAACACGCUGUGGUGAACACCCAUGCCCUGACAGUAACCUCGCAAACACACAUGCACUCAGUCAGACUGGAUGUUAAGACACACAUACAUGGUCAUGCACAUAAUCACACAAAGCAAAGCAUGAGGUGCUAGAGGACACAAGGCAGAGACUUCGAUGACACUACUGACCCCAUUUCCGUUCCUUGUUUGGUGUUGUUUCCUUCCUCUGGAAGGAAGCCAUGAUGAAAUCCUUGUGCGGACCACAGGACCACAUCGCCCUCCAUUGUCCUUGUCUGCUGAAGGGAGAAUGAGAAGAAGCAUCCCGUGCUGGGAAAAGACAAAUUAACUAGUAAUCAAAAGUAGUGGGUCUUAUGGGUGCGGUUAAAGAACGAUGUAAAGGACAAGCUGCAAUUGUCAAACUUUUUGUCUCAUUCAUUAUGUAGGGGUCAUUCUGAGCAUGUUAAUGUAAACCUCAGUUCCACUGUACUUCUAUGGUAAAGCAAUCAUUUUUAGUUCCACUGUAGUACUGGAAAGCGGAAACUGGGAAUUACACACUUUUAUGGCUGAUACAUAUUCAUUUUACCUGUGCCUUCCACUGUGUGUGUGUCUCACUGACCUCAGAAAAGUAAGAUAAUGUUGUUUCCUUCUUUAAUGCAUGAAAGAAUAAAAUAUUGCCGAAUGUAAGAGCUUGAUGCAAAACUUAAUUAAAAUACCAAAGCAAAAAAACUCCAAACCAAUAACACAGCUUAAGUAUUUUGAUGGCAAAGCUCACAUUCACACGAUGGAGUGGUGCAGUGACUAGCACGGUUCCUGCAGAUGAAGAAAGUCCAGGGUUUGAGACCAACAUCUGUGUGAGCUUUGCAUGUUUUAUGGUGAAUGUGUGUCAGCGAAUUUAUAUAAAUCACAUGUACCAAUAUAGUGUGAGUUACAUUAUAUGAUAUCAAUAUAAAGAACAGCAACUGUCACAAAAACAAUGAAAAGUGACUUACUGAAAUUUUUAUGAAGACAUUUAAAAAUUCUGUGAUGUUUGUUUCUUAACAGAAGCACACAAAAUCACUUAUGUAUUACUCCAUAAGUGCUUAUGAUUAAGUACACUGCUGUAGUAAAGGCAACACUGGGACAAAAGACCUCAGGGUCAGGAACAUUUUCAUUUUACAUCAAAUUUAUACCAGAAACACUGCAGGCAGAUUGAUUCAGUGCUCUGAUACAUGCAUAAAUAACAGCAGAGGUACGUCACCUUUGAGCCUCACAACAGCAGGGACAGUCAUACACAUAUGCAGGGCAGCAGACAGCAGCCAAUACAUCUUCAUAAAUUGCACAUGCCACUUUAAAUUUAUAGAAUGUAUUGAAUGGGCAGAGUGCCUCUCUAUCCCUUUUCAAUAUUCAUGGUGAUGGAGCUAACAAGAGGAAAAGGGAGCCCACUAUAGUAGGUAUGUUUAUGCCAUGAUAUUAAUUCUUUGCUCUAAUUUCCAAGUGAAAUGUUACUUAAGCUCUUGAUGGCUCAAUAAUACAUUUCAUUGUGCUCUAUGGGCAAAUUCGGGGUCUGUAGCUUCUCCACCAUGGGUAGCAGGAUUAAGAAAGAAAAAUCCAGGCAUGCUGAGUUGAGAGUAUUUAAAUCUUCUUGCACUCCAGACAGAGGAUGAGCAGAGGUGUGGGUGCAGUCAGGCUAAAGAUGGGAUUGUCUUUUAGGACACGCUCACUGAAUCCACAAAAACACAGUCUGGAAGGCUGUGAGCCCCUUGGGGUAUUGUGUGAGUGAGUGUACUGCAUCCAUCUGGCCCAUCGUUCCUUUCCCCCACCAUCUCAUCUCCUCCCCUGUUUCCCUCCUUUCAUCUCCAGGUGGGCCUACUACAGCCCACUGCAUGCAUGUAUUAGUGCUUUCUUGAAGUGAGGCGACCUUCGGACGCCCUUUAGUUUCCAUAGCAGCGAGCGGGCAAGUCGUGUAACAUUAACAUUCGCAGAGCUUGAGCAGCGGCCUGAUCAAAGCUCCAUUGAUUUUGUGUCCCACAUUCAUUCAAAAUGCCCACCUCUUACAAUUAGAAAGAAGCGAGGCGUCUUUCUUUCUAACUAAAAUAGGACUUGUAAAUGAAACUGAAUCAGGCGAAAGAUGAAUAGAUGGAUAUGUAAAUGGUUAAGUUUACAGUAACCCUUUCUGUAACCCUGAAGGAGUAAAAUAAAAAUGUGAUGAAAUGAUUUUGCUCUAUUAUUUUUUU
ensembl:lncRNA